rnacentral:rRNA from 1 species
CGGCGGACGGGUGAGUAACACGUGGGUAACCUACCUAUAAGACUGGGAUAACUUCGGGAAACAGGAGCUAAUACCGGAUAAUAUUUCGAACCGCAUGGUUCGAUAGUGAAAGAUGGUUUUGCUAUCACUUAUAGAUGGACCUGCGCCGUAUUAGCUAGUUGGUAAGGUAACGGCUUACCAAGACGACGAUACGUAGCCGACCUGAGAGGGUGAUCGGCCACACUGGAACUGAGACACGGUCCAGACUCCUACGGGAGGCAGCAGAG